rnacentral:rRNA from 1 species
UGGGGAAUUUUGGACAAUGGGCGAAAGCCUGAUCCAGCAAUGCCGCGUGUGUGAAGAAGGCCUUCGGGUUGUAAAGCACUUUUGUCCGUAAAGAAAUGGCUCUGGUUAAUACCUGGGGUCGAUGACGGUACCGGAAGAAUAAGGACCGGCUAACUACGUGCCAGCAGCCGCGGUAAUACGUAGGGUCCAAGCGUUAAUCGGAAUUACUGGGCGAAUAGCGUGCGCAGGCGGUUGUGCAAGACCGAUGUGAAAUCCCCUGGCUUAACUUGGGAAUUGCAUUGGUGACUGCACGGCUAGAGUGUGUCAGAGGGGGGUAGAAUUCCACGUGUAGCAGUGAAAUGCGUGGAGAUGUGGAGGAAUACAGAUGGCGAGGGAAGCACCCUGGGAUAACACUGACGCUCAUGCACGAAAGCGUGGGGAGCAAACAGG